rnacentral:misc_RNA from 1 species
AACGCACAUUGCGCCCGCUAGUACUCUAGCGGGCAUGCCUGUUCGAGCGUCAUUUCAACCCUCAAGCCCUGCUUGGUGUUGGGGCCCUACGGCUGCCGUAGGCCCUGAAAGGAAGUGGCGGGCUCGCUACAACUCCGAGCGUAGUAACUCAGUAUCUCGCUAUGGACGUUGCGGCGGCGCUCCGGCCGUUAAAGACCCAUCUUUAACCAAGGUUGACCUCGGAUCAGGUAGGAAUACCCGCUGAACUUAA